rnacentral:RNase_P_RNA from 1 species
CGAGUUGGCUGGGCGGCCGCGGAGAAAUUCGAGGAAAGUCCGGACUUCACAGAGCAGGGUGAUUGCUAACGGCAAUCCGAGGUGACUCGCGGGACAGUGCCACAGAAAACAGACCGCCGCCUGGGCCUUCGGCUCAGGGGGUAAGGGUGAAACGGUGCGGUAAGAGCGCACCAGCAUCCCGGGUGACCGGGAUGGCUCGGCAAACCCCACCCGAAGCAAGGUCAAGAGGUCGCUUUGCGACUGCGCAGGCGGGUUGCUCGCCCACACCUGCGGGUAGGCCGCUUGAGGCGCCCGGUGACGGUGCGUCCAGAUGGAUGGUCGCCGCCGCGCCUUCGGGCGCGGACACAGAAUCCGGCUUACAGGCCAGCUCGUUCG